rnacentral:sRNA from 1 species
GGGCGGCCGCCGUUGAGCGCGGCCUUGACGGCAUCCAGCGCGAGCACGGCGCUUUCGAUCGCACUCUGAUCUGCGUCGCGCGCGAUUGUCAAAUCGGCAC